rnacentral:misc_RNA from 1 species
GAUGAAGAACGCAGCGAAAUGCGAUAAGUAGUGUGAAUUGCAGAAUUCAGUGAAUCAUCGAAUCUUUGAACGCACAUUGCGCCCCUUGGUAUCCCGAGGGGCAUGCCUGUUCAAGCGUCAUUUCACCACUCAAGCCUGGCUUGGUGUUGGGCGACGUCCUCUUUGGGGACGCGCCUCGAAACGCUCGGCGGCGUGGCACCGGCUUUAAGCGUAGCAGAAUCUUUCGCUUUGGAAGUCGGGGCCCCGUCUGCCGGAAGACCUGCUCGCAAGGUUGACCUCGGAUCAGGCAGGGAUACCCGCUGAACUUAAGCAUAUCAUAAGCGGAGGA